rnacentral:rRNA from 1 species
CUACGGAGGGUGCAAGCGUUACUCGGAAUCACUGGGCGUAAAGCGCGCGCAGGCGGCGAUUUAAGUUGGAUGUGAAAGCCUACGGCUCAACCGUAGAACUGCAUCCAAAACUAUUUAGCUAGAGUGUGGGAGAGGAAGAUGGAAUUAGUUGUGUAGGGGUAAAAUCCGUAGAGAUAACUAGGAAUACCAAAAGCGAAGGCAAUCUUCUGGAACACUACUGACGCUGAGGCGCGAAAGCGUGGGGAGCAAACGGGAUUAGAAACCCCAGUAGUCC